GAUGAACGCUGGCGGCGUGCCUAAUACAUGCAAGUCGAGCGAACCACUUCGGUGGUGAGCGGCGAACGGGUGAGUAACACGUAGGUGAUCUGCCCAUCAGACGGGGACAACGAUUGGAAACGAUCGCUAAUACCGGAUAGGACGAAAGUUUAAAGGUGCUUCUGGCACCGCUGAUGGAUGAGCCUGCGGCGCAUUAGCUAGUUGGUAGGGUAAAGGCCUACCAAGGCGACGAUGCGUAGCCGGCCUGAGAGGGUGAACGGCCACACUGGGACUGAGACACGGCCCAGACUCCUACGGGAGGCAGCAGUAGGGAAUCUUCGGCGAUGGGCGAAAGCCUGACCGAGCAACGCCGCGUGAAUGAUGGAGGCCUUCGGGUUGUAAAAUUCUGUUAUAAGGGAAGAACGACUUUAGUAGGAAAUGGCUAGAGUGUGACGGUACCUUAUGAGAAAGCCACGGCUAACUACGUGCCAGCCGCCGCCGUAA
rnacentral:rRNA from 1 species